AGAGUUUGAUCCUGUGCUCAGGACGAACGCUGGCGGCGCGCCUAACACAUGCAAGUCGAACGAGCGAGAGAGAGCUUGCUUUCUCGAGCGAGUGGCGAACGGGUGAGUAACGCGUGAGGAACCUGCCUCAAAGAGGGGGACAACAGUUGGAAACGACUGCUAAUACCGCAUAAGCCCACAGCUCGGCAUCGAGCAUAGGGAAAAGGAGCAAUCCGCUUUGAGAUGGCCUCGCGUCCGAUUAGCUAGUUGGUGAGGUAAUGGCCCACCAAGGCGACGAUCGGUAGCCGGACUGAGAGGUUGAACGGCCACAUUGGGACUGAGACACGGCCCAGACUCCUACGGGAGGCAGCAGUGGGGAAUAUUGCACAAUGGGGGAAACCCUGAUGCAGCGACGCCGCGUGGAGGAAGAAGGUCUUCGGAUUGUAAACUCCUGUUGUUGAGGAAGAUAAUGACGGUACUCAACAAGGAAGUGACGGCUAACUACGUGCCAGCAGCCGCGGUAAAACGUAGGUCACAAGCGUCGUCCGGAAUUACUGGGUGUAAAGGGAGCGCAGGCGGGAAUACAAGUUGGAAGUGAAAUCUAUGGGCUCAACCCAUAAACUGCUUUCAAAACUGUAUCUCUUGAGUAGUGCACACGUACGCGGAAUUCCCGGUGUAGCGGUGGAAUGCGUAGAUAUCGGGAGGAACACCAGUGGCGAAGGCGGCCUACUGGGCACCAACUGACGCUGAGGCUCGAAAGUGUGGGUAGCAAACAGGAUUAGAUACCCUGGUAGUCCACACCGUAAACGAUGAUUACUAGGUGUUGGAGGAUUGACCCCUUCAGUGCCGCAGUUAACACAAUAAGUAAUCCACCUGGGGAGUACGACCGCAAGGUUGAAACUCAAAGGAAUUGACGGGGGCCCGCACAAGCAGUGGAGUAUGUGGUUUAAUUCGACGCAACGCGAAGAACCUUACCAAGUCUUGACAUCCUGCGACGCACAUAGAAAUAUGUGUUUCCUUCGGGACGCAGAGACAGGUGGUGCAUGGUUGUCGUCAGCUCGUGUCGUGAGAUGUUGGGUUAAGUCCCGCAACGAGCGCAACCCUUACUGUCAGUUACUACGCAAGGGGACUCUGGCAGGACUGCCGUUGACAAAACGGAGGAAGGUGGGGAUGACGUCAAAUCAUCAUGCCCUUUAUGACUUGGGCUACACACGUACUACAAUGGCGUUAAACAAAGAGAAGCAAGACCGCGAGGUGGAGCAAAACUCAGAAACAACGUCCCAGUUCGGACUGCAGGCUGCAACUCGCCUGCACGAAGUCGGAAUUGAUAGUAAUCGUGGAUCAGCAUGCCACGGUGAAUACGUUCUCCGGGCCUAGUACACACCGCCCGUC
rnacentral:rRNA from 1 species